AACAUACUCCCUCCGUCCGGAAAUACUUGUCAUCAAAAUGGACAAAAAGGGAUGUAUGUAAAACUAAAAUACAUCUAGAUACAUCUCCUUUUAUUUAUUUUGAUGACAAGUAUUUUCGGACGGAGGGAGUAUUAG
rnacentral:pre_miRNA from 1 species